UGAGGAAUAUUGCGCAAUGGGGGAAACCCUGACGCAGCAACGCCGCGUGAGUGAGGAAGGUUUUCGGACCGUAAAGCUCUGUCGAGCGGGAAGAAAUGCAUGGUGGCUAAUAUCCAUCAUGCUUGACGGUACCGCUAAAGGAAGCACCGGCUAACUCCGUGCCAGCAGCCGCGGUAAUACGGGGGGUGCGAGCGUUGUUCGGAAGUAUUGGGCGUAAAGAGCGUGUAGGCGGCGUAAUAAGUCAGAUGGGAAAUCCCUGGGCUUAACCCAGGACGUGCAUUUGAAACUAUUCGGCUAGAGUAGGGGAGAGGAAAGUGGAAUUCCUGGUGUAGAGGUGAAAUUCGUAGAUAGCAGGAGGAACACCGGUGGCGAAGGCGACUUUCUGGCCCUAUACUGACGCUGAGACGCGAGAGCGUGGGUAGCAAACA
rnacentral:rRNA from 1 species